AGUAGGGCGUGGGUACCCACCCCGGGGUCCGGGAUAGCCGUCCGAGAGGGCGGGUAAUACCGGAUGACCUCGGGAGAGCAAAGGUUUACCGCCCCGGGCGGGGCCCACGUGGUAUCAGCUAGUCGGUGGGGUGACGGCCCACCGAGGCGUAAACGCCUAGCGGGUGUGAGAGCACGACCCGCGCCACUGGCACUGAGACACUGGCCAGACACCCACGGGUGGCUGCAGA
rnacentral:rRNA from 1 species